rnacentral:rRNA from 1 species
UACGGAGGGGGCUAGUGUUGUUCGGAAUUACUGGGCGUAAAGCGCGCGUAGGCGGCUUUGCAAGUUAGAGGUGAAAGCCCGGGGCUCAACCCCGGAACUGCCUUUGAUACUGGGUAUCUCGAGUCCGAGAGAGGUGAGUGGAAUUCCGAGUGUAGAGGUGAAAUUCGUAGAUAUUCGGAGGAACACCAGUGGCGAAGGCGGCUCACUGGCUCGGUACUGACGCUGAGGUGCGAAAGCGUGGGGAGCAAACAGG